ACCAUAUUGGUUUAGCGGUUAGCACGUUCGCCUCACACCUCCAGGGUCGGGGGUUCGAGUCCCGCCAUGGCC